rnacentral:rRNA from 1 species
GGGCCCGCACAAGCGGUGGAGCAUGUGGUUUAAUUCGAUGAUACGCGAGGAACCUUACCAGGGCUUAAAUGUAGUGGGACAGGUCUAGAGAUAGACCCUUCUUCGGACUCAUUACAAGGUGCUGCAUGGUUGUCGUCAGCUCGUGCCGUGAGGUGUCAGGUUAAGUCCUAUAACGAGCGCAACCCCUAUCGUUAGUUGCCAGCGAGUAAUGUCGGGGACUCUAAAGAAACUGCCUACGCAAGUAGAGAGGAAGGCGGGGACGACGUCAAGUCAUCACGGCCCUUACGUAUAGGGCUACACACGUGCUACAAUGGGGAAUACAGACGGACGCUACCGGGUGACCGGAUGCGAAUCUCUAAAACCGGUCUCAGUUCGGAUCGGGGUCUGCAACUCGGCCCCGUGAAGCUGGAAUC